GGUUAAGCGACUAAGCGUACACGGUGGAUGCCCAGGCAGUCAGAGGCGAUGAAGGACGUGCUAAUCUGCGUAAAGCGACGGUAAGGUGAUAUGAACCGCUACAGCCGUCGAUGUCCGAAUGGGGAAACCCGGUGCACUCUGUGCAUCAUUGCAGCAUGAAUACAUAGUGCUGCAAGGCGAACCGGGGGAACUGAAACAUCUAAGUACCCCGAGGAAAAGAAAUCAACCGAGAUUCCCCCAGUAGCGGCGAGCGAACGGGGAGCAGCCCAGAGCCUGAAUCAGU
rnacentral:rRNA from 1 species